UAGGGAAUCUUCGGCAAUGGACGAAAGUCUGACCGAGCAACGCCGCGUGAGUGAAGAAGGUUUUCGGAUCGUAAAACUCUGUUGUUAGAGAAGAACAAGGACGUUAGUAACUGAACGUCCCCUGACGGUAUCUAACCAGAAAGCCACGGCUAACUACGUGCCAGCAGCCGCGGUAAGACGUAGGUGGCAAGCGUUGUCCGGAUUUAUUGGGCGUAAAGCGAGCGCAGGCGGUUUCUUAAGUCUGAUGUGAAAGCCCCCGGCUCAACCGGGGAGGGGCAUUGGAAACUGGGAGACUUGAGUGCAGAAGAGGAGAGUGAAAUUCCAUGUGUAGCGGUGAAAUGCGUAGAUAUAUGGAGGAACACCAGUGGCGAAGGCGGCUCUCUGGUCUGUAACUGACGCUGAGGCUCGAAAGCGUGGGGAGCAAACAGG
rnacentral:rRNA from 1 species